rnacentral:rRNA from 1 species
CGCGAAUUCGCCCUUAGAGUUUGAUUAUGGCUCAGGAUGAACGCUGGCGGCGUGCCUAAUACAUGCAAGUCGAACGAAACUUCUUUAUCACCGAGUGCUUGCACUCACCGAUAAAGAGUUGAGUGGCGAACGGGUGAGUAACACGUGGGCAACCUGCCCAAAAGAGGGGGAUAACACUUGGAAACGGGUGCUAAUACCGCAUAACCAUAGUUACCGCAUGGUAACUAUGUAAAAGGUGGCUAUGCUACCGCUUUUGGAUGGGCCCGCGGCGCAUUAGCUAGUUGGUGGGGUAAAGGCUUACCAAGGCAAUGAUGCGUAGCCGAACUGAGAGGUUGAUCGGCCACAUUGGGACUGAGACACGGCCCAAACUCCUACGGGAGGCACCACCAGGGAAUCUUCCACAAUGGGCGAAAGCCUGAUGGAGCAACGCCGCGUGGGUGAAGAAGGUCUUCGGAUCGUAAAACCCUGUUGUUA